rnacentral:lncRNA from 1 species
GCGGGGGCCAAGCCUGUGCAUGGGAGCACCCCAAGGGAGGGGCAUUGCUAGGCUCCCAUUCCAACAUCUCCAUCCCCCUUAACCCAGAGCAGCUCCUGGGAGGAGCCUCUUCUAUCCUGAGCACCAGAUGUCCAUGUGGCCCACACCCAUUAGGGGGGUGGCCCUGGGCCAAUCUGGCCAAGCAGCCUGCAAGCCAGGAGCCGGCCCAGGGCCAGACUGUGUCAAUGACGAUCAGCCAGGCUGGGCUAACUCAAAACUGUUGAGUGAGAGAUCAGCUGCGGGCUGGGGAGGGGCUAGGCUCUGGUGGAGCCCAGGAACCCCCACAGGGGUAACAAGCCCGCUCUCCCCAGAACCCAGACCUUUGGAUGACAGUGGCUCCAUCUGCCCUGAGCAUUGGUUGGCAUUCGACCCAGCCAUCCUCUCUGGCCACUUCUCUCCAGUUUGCACUGCUGUCUGCCCAGUCAAUGACUGAUGAUCGAUCCCCUUGGGACAGGAACCACAUUAGAGGGUUUAUUUACACAGGUAAGGAUAGCCCUACAUUCCCAAGGACAGAACACCUGGCCCUACCCUUUUGGCCCUUUAGCCACAGGCUCUGAAUGUCCUUGUUCCUGCUUGGAUUCAAGCCUGCAGUGCAAUUUCACGACCUGGGGCCCAGGACCCUGCAGAAGGCUCCAAUGGUUCCAUUCUAGACCGUGACCUCGGCUUUGCUGUUGGUGCUCAGGUGCCGGGGUCCUCUGCCCGCGCUGCUGUAAAAGCUCGCCUGCUGCGCGCUGAAGGCCUCGGGCAGCUUCUCCACGCUGAACUGGCGCCGUGGCGCGUGGUUGGGCCGCCGGGGAGCUGGGGAGACCUGAGCCACCAAGUGGCUACGGGGGAGCGGCCUCGCGGGGCGGCCCGCGGUCCAGGCGGCAUAAGGGACCGACGAGACAGGACCGGCCGGAGUCCCAGGCUACUUGGGGGAUGGAUGGCUCUCCAGAACAUCCUGGCUCGACUCAGGAAAACAUGAACAAUGGCAGCAAGUCCCGAGGCCCCCUAAUGGAUGGCUCCCUAGCUAGCAAGACGCUAAAUCCUGCACCAUGGAGAUGGAGGGGCACUGAACCCUAGAAGCCUGCAUGUAGCAGGUGGGGGAACUACUACGCAAGACACAGAGGCGGGUUCCAGAUCUACAAGCCAGAGCUUCAACCUAGCAGCCCUAGCUAGUAUAUCUUGAAUCUCGAGUCUUUCUCACAGCUUCGUUGCCCAGGAGACACGAUGGUUCCUCUCCACCGAGGGCUUGUCCAGACCCCAAUCACACCUCUGCACGGGCAGCCACUCAUUUAUAUAUGAAAUGUAGCUGUUCCACUCUCCUCCAGCUAGCCAACUCUCCCACCUCCUCCUCCUCCGCCUUGGUGUAGGUGAGCCAAUGCUCACCUAACACUCACCUGUGCUGUUGUGGGGGGAACCCCGGAGAACACCGUCACCCAUUUGUACCUGGACGCAGUUACCCAAGGGUGGACCCAGAGGCGGAGGCAGUGGUUCUUGGGGACCUGGCUGCUUGAGAAGUUCUGUCAGUGUCCUGUGGAGACAGAGAGAUGUUGAGGGGGCUUGCAGCUUGUGCCUCUCCAUCAGCCAGGACCUAAUCUCAUCAAAGGCUGGC